rnacentral:rRNA from 1 species
GACGAACGCUGGCGGCAGGCCUAACACAUGCAAGUCGAGCGGCAGCGGGUCCUUCGGGAUGCCGGCGAGCGGCGGACGGGUGAGUAAUGCCUAGGAAUCUGCCUGGUAGUGGGGGAUAACUCGGGGAAACUCGAGCUAAUACCGCAUACGUCCUACGGGAGAAAGCGGGGGAUCUUCGGACCUCGCGCUACCAGAUGAGCCUAGGUCGGAUUAGCUAGUUGGUGAGGUAAAGGCUCACCAAGGCGACGAUCGGUAGCCGGACUGAGAGGUUGAACGGCCACAUUGGGACUGAGACACGGCCCAG